UACGAAGGGGGCUAGCGUUGCUCGGAAUUACUGGGCGUAAAGCGCACGUAGGCGGCUUUGCAAGUUAGAGGUGAAAGCCCGGAGCUCAACUCCGGAAUUGCCUUUAAAACUGCAUCGCUAGAAUUGUGGAGAGGUAAGUGGAAUUCCGAGUGUAGAGGUGAAAUUCGUAGAUAUUCGGAAGAACACCAGUGGCGAAGGCGACUUACUGGACACAUAUUGACGCUGAGGUGCGAAAGCGUGGGGAGCAAACAGG
rnacentral:rRNA from 1 species